rnacentral:rRNA from 1 species
UCCUACGGGAGGCAGCAGUAGGGAAUCUUCCGCAAUGGACGAAAGUCUGACGGAGCAACGCCGCGUGAGUGAUGAAGGCUUUCGGGUCGUAAAACUCUGUUGUUAGGGAAGAACAAGUGCUAGUUGAAUAAGCUGGCACCUUGACGGUACCUAACCAGAAAGCCACGGCUAACUACGUGCCAGCAGCCGCGGUAAUACGUAGGUGGCAAGCGUUGUCCGGAAUUAUUGGGCGUAAAGGGCUCGCAGGCGGUUUCUUAAGUCUGAUGUGAAAGCCCCCGGCUCAACCGGGGAAGGUCAUUGGAAACUGGGGAACUUGAGUGCAGAAGAGGAGAGUGGAAUUCCACGUGUAGCGGUGAAAUGCGUAGAGAUGUGGAGGAACACCAGUGGCGAAGGCGACUCUCUGGUCUGUAACUGACGCUGAGGAGCGAAAGCGUGGGGAGCGAACAGGAUUAGAUACCCUGGUAGUCCACGCCGUAAACGAUGAGUGCUAAGUGUUAGGGGGUUUCCGCCCCUUAGUGCUGCAGCUAACGCAUUAAGCACUCCGCCUGGGGAGUACGGUCGCAAGACUGAAACUCAAAGGAAUUGACGGA